GAAAAAUCACCGGGACUUGUUACUUUAUUUACGAUUUUGUUUUCAUACGGGAAACCGGUUUCAAACCGGUGAUGGUUAAAAAAAUCCUCCACUUCUUCGGGCCCACUCACCGGCUUAGAAGCUAAUCCGCGAUGAUUAUCCGCACUUUUAGCGAUUAUUAGAUCGCGGCUCGCGAUUUCACGGUUAAUUUCAACGCCGAGAUGUGGGUCACACACAUUAACCGUGACAUUUGAUCUAAUUUCGAUGGCGAAAAAACGGGAGAAGCGAAAUGACCAAACAAUAGCUUGCGAGCGAUGACCUGACCUGACACGAAUACACAUUGGACGUGCGAUCCCACUGAAGCGAUUAAAAAAGCACCCACUAGAAGGCGAUCGUCAGCGGCAGUGGCGUAGCCAAAGGGAAAAAUAAUAAUUAAUUACCACUUGUAAAUUUUUUAUAAUGAGAGAAUUCUUAAUUCACGACGACCGCAGCUGCGAGUGGGUUAAAUCCGCGAGUCUAUAGCGCAACUUUAUCGUAUGAUAGUUUUACUCACAGAAAAACCAAGAAAUACUUCAUGAUUCGUCAUAUAUCGGCCACGGCCGUUAUAAGUUGUACCUAUAGUUUGACAUUAUGAUCAUUAAUAAUUUCGCCAAAAUACUUGAAUAUCACGAAAAAAUGCUGAACGCCACAUUAUAAAUGAAAAUUAUGACUCAAUGUCAUACAAAUUUAAUGAAAUUAAUUAUGUAUUUGCAGAUACAGCAGACUAGUAAAUACACUGCUGAAGAAACUGAGUACGAAACUAAAAAAUUAAAAAUCUUUGAACCGGACGACGUUAUUAGAUUUUUAAAAGAAUUUUAAGAAUACCUCCCUACGAUCGCUGGAUCAGCUAGAAAUUACAAGUUAUGUUUGAAGAAUAACAACAUCAGUUAUUAAUUACAGUUUUUGUGUUUAAUAGUUCAAACAAACCUCUACACUCGUCAAGAAUAUGUAAUUCUCAUUUUAAAAUGAGUUGAAGAAAAAAUCAGCAAAAAUAAAGGACCCCCUUGAACAUCUACUAUAGGCCAUAGAACAAAUGAAAAAGUAAAAUAUAUUCGUUCAUAAUUAAAAAAUAUAUCUCAUUCUGCUUAAAAAAUUACAAAAAAUAUACUUAUUAAAUCGUUACAAAUAGAUUUAAUUAGAAGUAACUUUAGGGCAGAAUCUUUUACCAAAAAAAAAAAAAACGAUCAAAAAAUGUGAAAAAUGAUCACAUUUUUAAAGUACUUGAUGUUCUAUUUUUUUUCGUAAUGUAGGUACAAAACGCUUGGUUCCGUACUUUUGCCGAACUCUGUAUACGAGUACAAAUGUUCCAUGAAAUAAAAGAUUUUUAAAAGUAAUAAAAACACUGUAACACAGUGAUUUUAAUUUUAAAUACUAGUAUGUGUUUAACUUGCGCCAUAAAACCCGUAAUAUUUUUCAUUUUCUGUGGAGAAAUUCCAGGAUUUUUGUUUUUUUUUUGUAACACAUGAAUGCAGCAGUUACGUGUAUGUUUGUUUAAAAUUUGCACGAUAACAUUGUUAUUUUUUCAAGCAACAAGAUACUUAAGUAACAAACAUAAUGAGACUUAUCAUAUUCCACACUGUGUACGUAUGUUUAUCAUGCUGUGGGAACAAGAAAAUUGGAGUGCCAGAAUCACCAGAGUGAUUAAAAUUAAAAUUUCGCCUGGUAAAGCAAUUCGCAGAUUUACAAUCAGAAUGCAGUGAGCAGCACUGUCUCGCCCGUGUAGCGUUUUAAUUGUAUAAUUGACGACACUUUCGAGCUUGUUGUGUAACACUGCAAUUAAAAAUCCUUGUUACGCCACUGGCGUGUCGGGGGAGUGUCGACCGCGAUGGGUCGUUAAGUCUCCGUUCCCUUUUCAAGGCCAUCGAAAAUGGUCUUGGGUCAUUUGAUGGGUCCUCCCCAGUCGCUCGCUUAUCGAUUUCGUCCGGUUGAUUUUAUUGCUUAUGAUACGAAGCGGUAAUAUUUUUAUUUUACGUUUCUUGGCUUUAAUCGAAUUCUUUCGGUGUAGUCUCAGCUAUGUUUUAAUAACGGAGGGUGGGUGGAAAAAUGCAGGUCGUAGCGCAAGGAUGUAAGCAAACAACUUGUAAUUUAAUCUCUUUGUAAACACAAAGCCAUAGAGAUUGGAAAAUAAUGAAAUUAUACGAAUUAUUCGAUUCCUGUCCAUGUCCACAAACACAGCGGGGGUCGCGGUUUUUAAUCGUUUUAAUCGAAACUUUGAGUCAAUAAUAUUGCCACAGUCGUUUUUCGAGCGAUGACAAACAGAUGUGCCUCCACAUCUGCUCAACAGUCACAAAAACGACUGAUAAAAACCGAGACGGAUUCGUGCAAUGAGGGCUUAUCAGUGCGUUUUCAAAGUUUGUUUAUCAAAGUUCGCCAAUUAGCGACAUCUGAUGAGCGAGUAAUUGUCACUAAUAAAUUGUCUCGGGGCGUAAAUAUUUCAGUUCUAAAAUUAGAAGGACUUCCGUGGUCCCGAAAUAUCGUCAAGGGGCGAAGUUUUAGCUGAAAUCGCAGAUUGUGGGAGUUUUGGACCGAUUCCACGCCGAGCGGUAAUGACCGCUAUGAAAAAUCUGAUUUCUAAUCGAAUUGAGUCCCUUUGUGCCGGCUUUCAUCACUUCAACCUGAUUCUGAGAGAAAAGUUGCUAUCCGGAGGAAAUCUGGUUGACAUUUAAGAAUUUUCUUGUACCUGUUUAGAUUUGUGGCGAAGUUUCUCUUUUAUGGUAAAUAGAUGCCAUUUUAGAGGCAGAUAAGGAACGUUUGGCUGUUGCUUAUCGGUGCCUUAACGCGAAAUGUGUGUAAUUGCGCCUAAUAAAAACACCUACGCCGCUAGAACGGUUGGUGGAAAAUAAAAUUCUCUACUUUGUAAUGUAUUGUGAAAACAACACGAAACAAACAUGAAAACAAUAACAGCAUUUUUGGUGCGAAAAUGUAAUCACCGCCGAGUUACGAGUAUUUGAGUUAAUCGAAAAGGCAAUCGUUUUGAUUAUUCUGUUAAUAUGUUUGCUUUGCUUUGAAGGCAUUUGUAAUUAAGCCGGGUCUGUGAUCAUACAUAUGAAGAACAUAUCUAGAGAGGGCACGGUCUUAAUGUGAACCGAAAACAUGACAGAGUAAUUUCACAAGUCAUUAAUGUAAAUCAGUCUAUUAUCGGAUUAAGUAGUACGAAAUUGAGUCAGUUUAUCCAGUGCUAUUAAGCAAUAUAUCCCUUUAAAACUAAUCUCAUCAAGUAGGUUAGGGAAGGCAUAGUAAAACAAGAUGCUAUCGGCUUACGUUCUCGCCUACUAUACUAGCGCAGCCAACUUUUGCCGGAAAAGGAUUAGUCUCCUCCUAAGAACCGGCAGUGUUAAAUUUCACUUCGACCUUAUUGUGAAACGACUUUUGACUCGAAGGGAGGACCAGAAUGUCGCAAGGAAAUUCGCCGUAAAUUUUACCGACAGUUUGUUGACCUUUCAAGUUAUUGUGAUAAGAUCCGGAAACCCACCCCCGAAACACUCUGUUUUCAUUUGCCCUUCUUUCGUUAAUAAAGUCGGAAUGAACGGCCACUAAAAGCAGACAGCGCGAUUAGGUAUAGUUAAUAAAAAAGAAAUGACUCUUCAUCGUUCACUUGAUAAUUGGAUCGUUUUUCUCCGGACACCCUCACCACAAAGGACCCACUAUUAAAUUGAAAUGAAUCACGAACAGAAAAACAUCUUUCAGCACUGGAACUUUUGGACUAGAGAAUUUUAAAUCAGGAAGCCAACCAACUUCAAGGCUAUUUCAUGAUUUCACGCCAAAACUUGUACAAGGAUAAGGAAACAUAAAUAAAAUCGGCUUAUUUACUCAAAUAUUGACAAUUUGAUGUUACACAAAAAAGUAAUUAGAACGCUAAUGCUUUAAAAAUGUAUUUGUUUAAACCAAAGGUCAAUUGCAAAAUAGGAAGAUUCAAGUCACCAAGUGCGGUGACCGAUUAAAUUACUACUCGACUUUUUCAAUUAUCAGAAGCCAAUCCUAGCGCUGUUUUUGCACACAUUGGUGCCAAUAGUAGAAUUAACAACUCCUGAAUAUAAAUUGCCAUUUACUAAUUUUGCAUAAUAUCAAAUGUUGCAAACGUGUUUGGCUUAUCAAUGAAAUUUUUGUUUUACUAUUUUACUUUUACUAUCCAAUGUUUGUUGGAAUUUAACAAAACAAAACUUGAAAAAAAUUGCACAAUAGUGGACGCAAUAACGUGAAGUUCAACGAUUUCGUCAGUGCAUUCAUAACUUCCCGAUAUAUUCCUAAAAAUCAUGGAGAGAUUAUCAAAGGUCGAGAGCGAGUCUGUUAUUCAAACCACUUUUGCUCCUAUUAUCUAUCCACAAGGGCUCUAAAGCAUCAAAAGCUUUUAAUGAGGCAAUUUCAUUAAAGGGAAACUCGGAAUUAUCUAAAGCAACAAGAGAUCAGUUUUUACUUCUAUUUUGGUAACUUUGUAUGAAAUUUAAAAAUUUAGCACCUGACAGGUGAUGGUCACAAUCCAAACUUGUAUGAUAAUUAUCUCUAGAUUUGUGACCCAGACUGCGAGAAAAAUUAAUGUCAAUAUCGGCCUAAAAAUGUGCAAUUUGUAUGCUUAUUAGUAUUAGGCCUGAUUUGAGCGAAGUGAAAGUGGUUUUUUAGCCACUUUUCUAAAAAGCGGUUUCAGCGAUUGUGCAGAUAAUGAUACCGUUCGCAUGCAAUCCGAGUCCUUGACCGAUGCCUUAUGAAAAUAAUGUGUUGUUUACCUCUGAUGCUUCUGGUGUUGACACAUUUAUGCCGUCACGUCUCCUGUAUCUUGUCGUUUAUUUGCGAAAGAAUGAAAAUGUGCAAAGCAGGGAUGUUGUUUACCGUCAGUUUGGAAGCGGCUUCAUGUCGAUACUUGUUGAUAUGUAGAGUCCUUGUUGCGUUGAUAAGCAAUUAAUUGUCGACUUGUCCCAUUGUAGGAAAUAACAGCGUUCAGGGCCAUGUCAGAUUUAUCGCACAAUGGGAUGUCAUUAGCGUUAUACAUUCCUUAUUUGGGCCUUCUUAUUUCGUACGGAGCCGCUAAUAAUUUCAUGUCUUGUAAGGCACGAUUCGAAAAUACCUUUGGAGAAAUUAUAUUGCCAUUCAAGUCGGGAUUGUUGCGUUGCCAUGGCUGGUAUCGGGCUUCUCCUGCCUCAACUUUCCUUCUUUCAUUCGAGUUUUGUUUACGCAGUAAAGUUCAAGCGAUCCGUCACACAGGAAGGGCGAAGACAAUGGUGGCGACAGCCCGCGAGGGGUGAAGGUGAAAUGAAUAUGUAGCCGCAUGCAAAUCCCUUCCAGCACAUGAAAUUUAAAUCGUCCCUUAACGAGCCAAGAUGUAUCGUUCUUCUCGAAUCUCGGACGUAAUCUUCACGCUCCACUUUGGUGAAAUUCAGCCAACAAAGAUUUUAAUGAGUUGACAUAUUUUAAUUAACAAAACGCGUCGCUCAAAACAAAGCCCGCUGGACCGCUCCCCAGUCCUGGCUGCCACUUUACAUAAUCGAAUAUUAAAGUACCAUUAAAAUUUCCGGCGCUGUCUCCAUCGACUUAUUUAUUCAAGCCUUAUUAGCCAUCCUUUUUAGUUGGCGAGGUGAACACGGAAUCGAAAGUAGCAUUUCAUCAUCACGUACUAUUCGAGUAAAACUGGGCCCUUGUCCGGACCGGAGAGGUCACAGUCGUAAAUUCAAAUCGUCAACCCACACCGUAACCGGCGCCCAGAAACUUACCAUAACGUCUGGCCGUGGACCACUCCAUGGGUCGUUCACUUGGGCCGGUUACAGGGUGGAUGGUAUGUGGCUCCGGAUCGAUCGGGAUGCAGACGCGGUCUGGACCCUUAUUAAAAAUAUGAGACGGGUUUAUGGGGCCGCAUCUGGGCCUGUUUAUGUUCCAGCAUCAAGAGCUUUCAAUUGGGUGGAUUACGAGCUGUUACGUGUUGUUUUACUUUUUCAAAACGCACCGCCAACAAAACAGUAAUUUUUGGAGUUUCGAAAUUUAAUCUUGGCCUUGGAUAUUUUAUCAAAUUUGUAUGUUCAUUGUGACUAUUUUUUUACCGGUAUAAGAUAUUCACGAUAAUCAGUACUCUAAAAUAAUAGAUAGCAUAUCUAUACCUAGGUUAGUGCAAAACGCCUUUGUUACAGGUCACCUUUUUACGUCAUGAAACCCAAACUUUGAUCCUUUCCCAACAAAUAUUUCCCUGAUACUCAAGCGUGACAGUUGCGUGCGCCUGAGAGGGUUUACGAUUAAUUCAACUUGAAGUCACUUGAAAAUCAAUUUUUUCAAAGACAGAUAUCUGUCUAUUUCUAGUUUUACGUGUAACUAAUCUCGAUUUUUGAGUAAUUAGCCUUGUCAAUCAAUUUCAGACACAUCCAACAUGAGUUCCCUUUUAUCUUUGUGUUUACUUUGUCGAAAAACAUUUGACGAUGGCCAGAAAACACCUUGAAGGACUCCUGUUACGUGUUAUUUCUCUAACGAAAUUUCCCCUAGUAACAACAGCCUCUGCACUUGUGCCUAAUCAGUGGGGCUAGAUUUUUAAUCAUAAAUCAGUUUUAAUAAAUGCUGCUUUGCAUUAUAAGGCCUUAUCGCUAAUGAUAAGUGUGUUUUGAGUGAUUAUCGUUAUUAAAAUAUCGUCAGCAAACAAGCAAGUCUGUCAUCUAAAUUGAACUGUUUUCAUCCGAAUAUAAAAUUCGGAUGCAUUAGGGUUGUCGUGAUAAGGGAGCAUAAAUAUGGCAGGUAGAUAUUUCGGCUAUUAUCAGUCGCUUCCUGCGGUAAUUUUGGUCCUGUAGCUCCGAAAAUAGCCCGUGUCUCGAUGGGAGUCGUAGCUUUUAAAAAUUCCUGUAUCUCGACCGAUUCUUGAAUUUUAAUCGGGUCCAAACAUAAGCGUAAUAUUUUUAUCAAACGCUCUCCGAACGUUUAUUCAGAUAAUAUAUUUAGGUCAAUCGUAUUAUAUAAUCUGACGUUAAUGUGUUUGUUCAACCAGUAGAAGGACUUUAUGGGACGCAAUCUUCCUCCUCUGGUCGUGUGAGGCGAGGGUUUAUCGACUAAAUAAUUAAAUUUGAGGCGACCGUGCGAGGCAGGUACGGGAUGAUUUUAUUAUUUAGGUGCUCGAUAAUUAAAAGUUACGUAACAGCCCGGAGAUAAUUAUAGUUUAUCUCGGUAAUUAUUGUAAACAAAUUCACUCUCAAAAAUGAGAUAGUAAACCAGUCUAAGUAAAUAGUGAUAGCCGGGAGACAAAGAAAAAUCAAGAGAAAAGCCGAUGACUCCUUAUCAGCCGACUUUGCAAGAACUUUGAACCAAUUUUGUAAAGUUGCAUCGCUUUUUGACGUAAAAAACCCAAAACGGAUCUGUUUUGCACGAAAUUGUUUGCUCGAGUGAGAUAUUUUUAUGAAAUUAAGGUCGUCGGGUGGUUAGUUGAUAACGAUUCCGUAUCGUUGGACGCCUUUCGCUCCCCUUGCGUUCUCCCCUUGAAAUUUACGAUCGAAUUUUGAAUAUAUUAUGAAUCAUGUGUCGACCCUUCUAAAAGUCGCUUCGAGUGGAAAAUCGAGUGAUCUUCCAUCGAAAGGUAUAAAUUUCGAUGAAUUUUUUCGUAAUUACGACAGACUGAUAAAAUGCGAGAGGUGGAAAAUGAGAACCCGUUAUUUUUUACAGUCCUCGUUUUAUAUUCACAGACUUAUUUAUUAUUUACACAUUUCUGAAAUAAUCAUUAAUUUGCAAAUACCUGUGUUUGUGAAUAAAGCAGUUUCCUGUGUACACAAAACAACUUUCUCGUCUGUCUAUUAAUUAUGUUGCUGUGUGUUUUUUGCAACGGUAAUAGGAACCCACUAGAGGUGUAAUGGUGCGUUGAAAAUCCGAGAGUCAAAAUGCGAUAAAUGUGCAAGAGCACGAUAAAACGCGAAAAAAACGACACGUGUAUAAAUAUUUGAAGAUCACAAUGCAAAUACGCGAUUUUUUUCUACGCCCCGUCGUUCGAAAAUAAACACGAAGACUCGAGUAAAUUAAUUCGAUAAAUUUAUUCAGUUAAAAGCAGCCGGCUAUGACGCCCCAACAUAACAUAAUGACAGCAUUCAACCCCAUUACCGGAUUCGAUUAAGAGUUUUUAUUUGUUCUAAAGCAGCGUCGAAGGCGGAAGGUAGUAGCAUUGUCACUCCCUUCCCUUGAAUUCCAUCAUGUCUUCAUUGUAUGCUGUAGAUUCC